rnacentral:tRNA from 1 species
GCCAAUAUAGCUCAAUAGGUAGAGCAACUGAUUUGUAAUCAGUAGGUUCCAGGUUCGAAUCCUGGUAUUGGCA